GGAGAGGUACCCGAGUUUGGCCAAAGGGGGCAGACUGUAAAUCUGCUGGCGUUAGCCUUCGAAGGUUCGAAUCCUUCCCUCUCCACCA
rnacentral:tRNA from 1 species